CAGGUUUGAGCAAGUUGCCUCACUUCUCAGCUUCGAUGUCCUCGUCUGGACAGGGCAAUGAUGGCUCACCCCUGCUUGUUGGGGGGCCAUGGAGGAAUUAAAUGUGGUAAUGGAUGAAAAGCACUUCCAACAGUGCCCAACAUGCAGUAGGUGCUUCUUUCCCAACCAAUGCUGGUACUGGCCCAUGCCAUCGCACACCUGCUCCCGAGAUCCACCUCCUGGUCUGUAAAGGGGAGAGUGAGCAGGAGAGAUGCCUGACAGGCCUUAACAGACCUGCUAGCUCCCUCUCCCUCUCCUGCACUCUCUGCCCCAAGCGGAGCAGAGCCAAGGGGUGUUGCUCUCAAGUGGAUGUGUUUCAGGGGAGGCAGACUUCCAGCUCUGGUUUGCACUUGGCUCACUGGCGUUAUCACCCACCUUGGAAUGUGGGCACCAUCUCACAGGUCGCCCCACCCUACUGCCUGAGUUCCUGCUCCCACAGCCCUCUGCUCCUCCCAGGCUCCAGCCCUGCUCCAGUCUCGUCUCCCUGUCCCUGCUUCUCCCUCUGCGGGAGCCUCCUACCAAAUCUGAGACCCAUCAGAACCCACCCUCUAAUCCAAACAGUCUCACUGGGCAUGGAGGGUGGGGGAGGCCAACUCCACGUCAAGUUCAAGCAACUCCUCUGCCCCUGGUCACCCACCUUCUCUUCUCUCUGCAUCUGAGCAGCAGAUGAUAGAUCCAAGCCAGAGGAUGCCGGAGUGAGUUACAGAUGGUUUUGAAUCCUCUGUACUAGGGCUAUGAAUGCCAUAUGGCAGAUGCUCUGAAGUGCCUGUGAUGAAGGAAUAUUCUUUUUCUUCUUCAAGGUGCAUGAAUGAUGGACAGUAGGUCAGAAUGGGUGGCCAGCAGUUAACAGGCAUGGGGCAAUGAUUUCACACUGAAAUGCACGACUGGGUACGGAGUGGGGCAGGUACGAGAGGUUGGCAGGAGGAAGCUGUGUGGAACAUUUGGGACCACAGAACGUCAAAGCCAGAAGACCCCAAACGAUGACCAGACUCGUGUGUCACAGAACUGUGAGAUCAGAAAAAGCACCCAUGAGACAUUUGGGUAAAUACACGUGGAGUUUACAAAAUGUCUGAGGCCACCAGAACCACAUUCAAACCGGGGAAAGAACGAUGGAUGAUUUAGUGGAGGAGAGAGAGGUGAGAGUAAGUCUUGCCUGUGCGCUUCCCAUUUCCCGGACCUUAUCUACAGCAAGCGGCAGCCAAUAUUUGUCAAUUCUAUAAUCUCCAAUUUCAAUCCCUGGAUGACGUCCUACCGUGUCGUCGCCUGGUGUUUCCUGCCAUUAAUGCCUCAGCCUCCAUCUCCGCGUCUCCGGCAGGAAGCAGCGCCCUGCGCUGGAAAGAGCCAGCUGGGAAGUCACACGCUCCAGGUCCCAGCGCAGCCUCUGCCCUCCGAUAGCUGUGGGCCCGUGGGGAGCCCCCCAGCCAAAGAAGGAUGGGGCAGCAUCCAGGGCUCUCGAAUUAGGUGCUGGGAUGUUUUUUAAAAAUUUCGUAGGCCUUUAAGGCUGUGUGGAAAAUGUAAUUUGUAGAAGUUGAAUAACUGUACUGUUGCCCCAGUAGGGCCUGGGCCCGCCUGGUGCUCCCUGACCACCUGGCAGUAAGGCAGGCGGCAGUGGCGCUCCUGUGCAGCGAUGCCCGAGGCCAGCUUCCGUUCUGGUUGUUUGCUCGCCACUCACAGCCCCUGCAGAGCCGACUGGAGGGAAAAUAUGUGGACCUGUUAUCCAAGAUUAAGCAAGGCCUCGGCUGACCCUGGGGAAGAAGUCAAUAAAACUCAGCCAUGCCCAACUGGUGAAAGUUCCCGUGCCAAAUUGUUAAAAAUUCUCAUCGUCUCAUCUUCUUCCCCUGAAGACCACCAGAGGCCCCCCUGCGGUGAACAGGGUGGCUCGGUUGCAGAGGGGAGAGCGCCACAGG
ensembl:lncRNA